AAGCGGUACGCGAGCUGGGUUCAGAACGUCGUGAGACAGUUCGGUCCCUAUCCGUCGCGGGCGCAGGAAAUUUGAGAGGAGCUGUCCUUAGUACGAGAGGACCGGGAUGGACACAUCGCUGGUGUACCAGUUGUUCUGCCAAGAGCAUCGCUGGGUAGCUAUGUGUGGCCGGGAUAAGUGCUGAAAGCAUCUAAGCACGAAGCCCCCCUCAAGAUGAGAUUUCCCAUUGCGCAAGCAAGUAAGAUCCCUCAAAGACGAUGAGGUAGAUAGGUUCGGGGUGGAAGCGUGGCGACACGUGCAGCUGACGAAUACUAAUCGAUCGAGGACUUAACCAA
rnacentral:rRNA from 1 species